UUUGGGUUGGGUGGGAAAGUUGCAUUGUUUUGUAACAAUCUACCUUCCCACAGGAAAAUGUGGGCAAAGUGAAGAGAGGGAAUCUGAUCUAAAAGAACACGAUAAUCAUUUGCCCAAAGGUUGCAAAUGGAGUUUUCAAGAGUCUGACUUGCAAAAUUUGAGUAGCACCGAGCGCAUAACAAUUCUCCAAGCAAAAUUGCAGGAAAUUCGGAAACGUUACCUGUUGUUGAAAGCUGAGUUGGCUGCCAUUGACCGGACAAAGCGCUUAAAGAAAAAAAAAGAGCAGGAAACAGAAAGCAAAAGUGUGGCCCAGCUUUAAUGCAGCGCCAGUCAAAACAAAGCUGAAUUUUGAUUCCUGUUCAUUAUAGUAGUUUGAAAAUGUCAAAGCAAGCUCCUGAAAAUAUUUGCUGACUCUUUGUAUCGACUGCCUCAAGGUCAGAUUCAUUGGAGUUGAAACUGGAAUAAAUCUUCUAGUGUUCUCUG